rnacentral:rRNA from 1 species
UAAGGAAUAUUGGACAAUGGGCGGAAGCCUGAUCCAGCCAUCCCGCGUGCAGGAUGACGGCCCUAUGGGUUGUAAACUGCUUUAGACUGGAAAGAAAGUUGCGGAUUAAUCUGUAAUUGACGGUACCAGUAGAAUAAGCACCGGCUAACUCCGUGCCAGCAGCCGCGGUAAUACGGAGGGUGCAAGCGUUAUCCGGAAUUACUGGGUUUAAAGGGUGCGUAGGCGGCUGUGUAAGUCAGAGGUGAAAGCCCGCAGCUUAACUGUGGAAUUGCCUUUGAUACUGCAUAGCUUGAAACAGGUUGAGGUUGGCGGAAUGUGACAUGUAGCGGUGAAAUGCAUAGAUAUGUCAUAGAACACCAAUUGCGAAGGCAGCUGACUGGACCUUGUUUGACGCUGAGGCACGAAAGCGUGGGGAGCGAACA